rnacentral:tRNA from 1 species
GGGUAUAGCACAAGUGGUAAAGUGCAUGUUUAGCAUGCAUGAGGUCCUGGGUUCAAUCCCCAGUACCACCU